CUGAGUUAGGGUCUUUUCGGGCCCGACCUCCUAACCCCAUGUUUACUAAACCAAUGUUGCUUCGGCGGGCCCGUCUCACGACCGCCGGAGGACUGUAAGACGUCCUCUGGCCUGCGCCCGUCGGUGGCCAAACUUCAAAUUCUGAAUUAAAACGUGUCACCUGUCUGAGUGCCAUUCUUUUAAUUAAAGCA
rnacentral:misc_RNA from 1 species